GACGAACGCUGGCGGCGUGCCUAAUACAUGCAAGUCGAACGCAGUGGGGACGGGUGAGUAACCCGUGGGUAACCUCCCAUCAGAGGGGAUAACACUUGGAAACAGGUGCUAAACCGAUACUGAUGGAUGGACCCGCGGUGCAUUAGCUAGUGGGUGAGGUAACGGCUCACCAAGGCCACGAUGCAUAGCGGACCUGAGAGGUGGACCGGCCACACUGGAACUGAGACACGGCCCAGACUCCUACGGGAGGCAGAAGUGGGGAAUCUUGGGCAAUGGACGAAAGUCGGACAGAGCAACGCCGCGGGAGUGAAGAAGGUUUUCGGAUCGGAAAGCGCUGUUGGUGGAGAAGCGGUAUCUAACCAGAAAGCAACGGCUAACUACGUGCCAGCCGCCGCGGUAAUAC
rnacentral:rRNA from 1 species